UACGGAGGGGGCUAGCGUUGUUCGGAAUUACUGGGCGUAAAGCGCACGUAGGCGGCUUUGUAAGUUAGAGGUGAAAGUCCGGGGCUCAACCCCGGAAUUGCCUUUAAGACUGCAUCGCUAGAAUUGUGGAGAGGUAAGUGGAAUUCCGAGUGUAGAGGUGAAAUUCGUAGAUAUUCGGAAGAACACCAGUGGCGAAGGCGACUUACUGGACACAUAUUGACGCUGAGGUGCGAAAGCGUGGGGAGCAAACAGG
rnacentral:rRNA from 1 species